rnacentral:rRNA from 1 species
GAUGAACGCUGGCGGCGUGCCUAAUACAUGCAAGUCGAGCGAACAGACGAGGAGCUUGCUCCUCUGACGUUAGCGGCGGACGGGUGAGUAACACGUGGAUAACCUACCUAUAAGACUGGGAUAACUUCGGGAAACCGGAGCUAAUACCGGAUAAUAUAUUGAACCGCAUGGUUCAAUAGUGAAAGACGGUUUUGCUGUCACUUAUAGAUGGAUCCGCGCCGCAUUAGCUAGUUGGGAAGGUAACGGCUCACCAAGGCAACGAUGCGUAGCCGACCUGAGAGGGUGAUCGGCCACACUGGAACUGAGACACGGUCCAGACUCCUACGGGAGGCAGCAGUAGGGAAUCUUCCGCAAUGGGCGAAAGCAUGACGGAGCAACGCCGCGUGAGUGAUGAAGGUCUUCGGAUCGUAAAACUCUGUUAUUAGGGAAGAACAAAUGUGUAAGUAACUAUGCACGUCUUGACGGUACCUAAUCAGAAAGCCACGGCUAACUACGUG